rnacentral:piRNA from 1 species
UUUGAGGAAAGACCAUUAGGGAGAAG